AUACUUACCUGGCAGGGGAGAUACCAUGAUAAUGAAGGUGGUUUUCCCAGGGUGAGGCUUAUCCAUUGCAAUCCGGAGGAUGUGCUGACUCCUGCGAUUUCCAGAAAGGGGGAAACUCGACUGCAUAAUUUGUGGUAGUGGGGGACUGCAUUCACACUCUUUCUGA